rnacentral:rRNA from 1 species
GAUGAACGCUGGCGGCGUGCCUAAUACAUGCAAGUCGAGCGAACAGACGAGGAGCUUGCUCCUCUGACGUUAGCGGCGGACGGGUGAGUAACACGUGGAUAACCUACCUAUAAGACUGGGAUAACUUCGGGAAACCGGAGCUAAUACCGUAUAAUAUAUUGAACCGCAUGGUGCAAUAGUGAAAGACGGUUUUGCUGUCACUUAUAGAUGGAUCCGCGCCGCAUUAGCUAGUUGGUAAGGUAACGGCUUACCAAGGCAACGAUGCGUAGCCGACCUGAGAGGGUGAUCGGCCACACUGGAACUGAGACACGGUCAAGACUCCUACGGGAGGCAGCAGUAGGGAAUCUUCCGCAAUGGGCGAAAGCCUGACGGAGCAACGCCGCGUGAGUGAUGAAGGUCUUCGGAUCGUAAAACUCUGUUAUUAGGGAAGAACAAAUGUGUAAGUAACUAUGCACGUCUUGACGGUACCUAAUCAGAAAGCCACGGCUAACUACGUG